UAGGAACUAGAACCUUAAUGAUUUUAUAGGUUGGGUUCGGCUCCUUAGAAAAUUAUAAUUUCGAUUCCGGUCUGUGGAAUAUAAAUACCAAUUAUUAUGGUUCUAGGUUUAAAUACCUGCUAAAGAUUUCAGCAUAAACUGUUUUAUUUUUUAUCUAAAGACUUUCUGUCUGUUUUUUCAUUGCAACCAUUAUUUCUUCCGCUAACUAGCAGUUU